rnacentral:rRNA from 1 species
UACGUAGGGCGCAAGCGUUAUCCGGAAUUAUUGGGCGUAAAGAGCUCGUAGGCGGUUUGUCGCGUCUGCCGUGAAAAUCCAGGGCUUAACCCUGGACCUGCAGUGGGUACGGGCAGACUAGAGUGCGGUAGGGGAGAUCGGAAUUCCUGGUGUAGCAGUGAAAUGCGCAGAUAUCAGGAGGAACACCGGUGGCGAAGGCGGAUCCCUGGGCCGUAACUGACGCUGAGGAGCGAAAGCAUGGGGAGCGAACAGG